rnacentral:rRNA from 1 species
AACGAACGCUGGCGGCAUGCCUAACACAUGCAAGUCGAACGAGACCUUCGGGUCUAGUGGCGCACGGGUGCGUAACGCGUGGGAACCUGCCCUUAGGUUCGGAAUAACUCCCCGAAAGGGGUGCUAAUACCGGAUAAUGUCUUCGGACCAAAGAUUUAUCGCCUUUGGAUGGGCCCGCGUUGGAUUAGCUAGUUGGUAGGGUAAAAGCCUACCGAGGCGACGAUCCAUAGCUGGUCUGAGAGGAUGAUCAGCCACACUGGGACUGAGACACGGCCCAGACUCCUACGGGAGGCAGCAGUGGGGAAUAUUGGACGAUGGGCGAAAGCCUGAUCCAGCAAUGCCGCGUGAGUGAUGAAGGCCUUAGGGUUGUAAAGCUCUUUUACCCGGGAUGAUAAUGACAGUACCGGGAGAAUAAGCUCCGGCUAACUCCGUG